AAAACAUUUUUAAAAAAAAUAAAAAUAAAAUUUAAAAGAGGCUUGAGGGGCGCGUGGCCAGCUCAGUAAGUGGAACAUGUGACUCUUGAUCUCGGGGUUGUGAGUUCAAGCCCCAUGUUGGGUGUAGAGAUUGCUUAAAAUAAAAUCUUUGAAAAAAAAAAAAUGAAAGAGCUUUGAGCUUCAAAAAUAUUUGGAUGCUCAGCUGGGCCGGUCUGUUAUGGGAAGGUCAGGGUCCCAAUUGGGCAACCGGAGACCCUGACACAUGAGAUAGAGACAUCUGGGUGUGGGACUCCAGAGACUGUGGGUCCCUGACUCCUCUGUAAUGUUAGAGCCCAUAGAGAGACCCACCCUCCAUAUUAAGAGCUAGAAUACCCUCCAGUGAGAGGACCCAUCAGGGAUCCUUCUUAGACUCUGCCCCCACCUCUUCUAGCUGCCCCAUGCAUAAGCAGGUUUAAGAAACAAUAAAGUCGGGAUGAAUGGGUGGCUCAGUUAAGCAUCUGACUUUGGCUCAUAGUUCAUGGUUCAAGCCCGCAUUAGACUCUCUGCUGUCAGCACAGAGCCUGCUUUGGAUUCUUUGUCCCCCUCUCCGCCUGCCCCUGCCCAGCUUGUUCUCUACCUCUCUUAAAAUAAAUACAUAAACUUAAAAAGAAAAAAAAGAAAUAAUAAAAUCUACCUGGAAUAUGUGGAGUCUCAUAAUGGAGGAAAAGAACUAUCCCUUUAAAAAAAAAAAAAUUCCCCCCAGUAUUAUUGAGAUACAAUUGGCCUAUAACAUAAAUUUAAAGUGUACAAUGUAGGGGCACCUGGGUGGCUCAGUCAAUUAAGUGUCCGACUCUUGAUGUCAGCUCAGGUCUUGAUCUCAGUGUCAUGAGUUCAAGCCCUGCAUUGGGCUCCACACUGGGCAUGAAGCCUACUUAAAAGAAUUUUUUUUUUAAUUUAAACAUGAAAUAUAGACACAAAAAAAACCCACAAAAACUUUAAAAUUUUAAAACACAAAUCAUUACAAUGUAAUGACUUUUUAUUUAGAAAUUCUUUUUAAUGUUUAUUUUUGAGAGAGAGACAGACUGUGCGUGGGGGAGGGGCAGAGAGAAAGACACACACACACAGAAUCCGAAGCAGGCUGUCAGCUAUCAGCACAGAGCCUGACGCAGGGCUCAAACUCCCGAACCGUGAGAUCAUGACCUGAGCUGAAGUCGGACGUUCAACCGACUGAAGCACCCAGGCACCCAGGUACCCAGUGUAUAAUGAUUUGAUUCACUUACAUAUUGUGAAAUGAUUAGCACAAUAGGGUUAGUUAACAUUUCCAUCACCUCAUAUAACGACCAUUUCUUUUUUGUGGUGAGAAUAUUUAAGAUCUAACUCUUAGCAACUUUCAAGUAUAUAACACAAUAUUAUUAACUGUAAUCAUUAGAUCCCAAUGUACAUCAAAUCCCAGAACAUAUUCAUCUUAUAACUGGAAGUUCGUACCCUUUGACUAACAUCUCCCCAUUUCUCCCACCUCCAGCCGCUGUUAACUUUCUGUUUCUAUGAGUUUGGACUUUUUAGAUUCCACUCCAUGGUAGUGAUACCAUGGAGUAUUUCUCUCUUUCUCUCUGACUUACUUCACUAAGCAUCAUGUCCUCAAGGGCCAUGCCAGUUGACACAAGUGGCAAGAUUUCCUUCUUUGCUGUGGCUGAAAAAGAUUCCAUUUUACAUACAUCACAACUUCUUUAUCCGUUUGUCUAUAGAUAAUGGAUGCUUAGGUUUUUUCCAUAUCUCGUGAUUGUGAAUAAUGCUGCGUGGAACAUGGGAAUGCAGAUACUCCUUGAGAUCCUGAUUUCAUUUCCUUUGGAUACAUACCCAGAAGUGGGAUUGCUGGAUCAUAUGCCAAGAUGAAGUAACAAGGACCCAUUUAAGGAACUAAAAGAACUGAAGUAACUAAAAAGCUACAUGAAAUAUACCAAACAACAGUUUCAAAAACACUGGCUAUCAGGAGAGGAAGGACAGUGGUCCCUGGAAGAAGAGAAACACAUGUGGUGAGCCUUACAAUUGCUGGAGCUUCCUGCCAGGGCGGUGUUUCCAGUCUGCUGUGCCCGGAGGGGGAGCCAAGUGGAGCCCGACCAUCUUCCUGAGUUGAGGAGACAAAGCUGGAAAUCAAUGGAGACCCAGGGUGGCUGGAGUUCUCAGGUGCAAAUACUGGUGAGUAGAGACCAAUGCAGAGACAGCAUGCCAGGGAGCCCCAGGUGGUGUCCGGCAAGUCUUCAGCAUGUGAGGAAACGCUCAGGCUGAGGAAAGAACCACCCAAAAGGAGCAACUUGCACAGAUCACAAAAAGCUGGGAAGAGCCUGUGCUCCCACCAGCCAGAGUGGAAAGCCUUGUCAUUCAUGGGGCAUAGGAUGGAAUAUUCAGAAGAGUAUUGCCUAAGUAGUGAGGAAAGAUUAAUCCCAGACUAAACACUGCUCCAAAAAGCAGUGCCCACCUCAAAAAGCAUAAAGAGUACGUUUCAAGAGGAUCAAACUCUUCCCAAGUAACUUAACUGCAUUGCAGAACAAAGCUUUAGAAUAUUUAUAGAAAUAAAUAUCAUGUUUAUAUUUGUGUGUGUGUGUGUGUGUGUGUGUGUCUCCAGCACCCAACAAUCCAAUGGUGGUAAAAUCACUACGCUGGGCCCCUUUUGUCCUGGAAAAACGUUAUGGGUUAAAUUGUGUCCCGUCUAAAUUCAUAUGUUGAAGUUCUGACCAGCAGUGCUUCAGAACAUGACCUGAUUUAGAGAUAGUCUUUACAAAGGUAAUCAAGUUAAAAUAAGAUCAGUACAGUAGGGUCCAGCUCAAUAUGAUUGAUGUCCUUUAGAAAGGGGAAAUUUGGACCGAGAGACACACAAAGGAGGAAGACAAUGUGAAGACAUAGGGAAGAAAUGCGAACAUAAGGAUGGCCAUCUGUGAGCCAGGGAGAAAGGCCUGGAAGGGGCCCUUUCCUCACUGACCUCGAAGGAACCACCUCUGCAGACACUUUGAUUGCAGACUUGUAGUCUCCAGAACUGGGAGACAAUUUCUCUUGUUUACCCAAUUUGUGACACUUUUUUAUGGCAGCCCUAGGAAACUGCUACAAAGGACAAGACUUUGUUUUCACCAGAGUAACACUUAUUCUGGGUAUUGGUUUACCUUUUCUGCCAGCAGAGUCAAGCAGCCAGCAGCACUACAUGGUGUCUUAUAGAGUCCCUGAUCCACAGGCAUGGAUUCCAAAUAAUGUGGUAUCUGAUCAGGAGACCCACUUCACAGCAAAGGAGGUAUGGGAAUGGGCCCACGACCAUGGAAUCAACCGGCCAUAUCCCAGAUGCACCAUCCAGAGGUAACUGGCCCGAGAGUGCAUCACAGCAGCAUACUGGAGGGACAGCUGAUGUAUCAAUUUGGAGGCAAUGGUCUGUCUGCAAAGAUGGGUGCUGUCUUCCAGGAUGUUUGUAUAUGCACUUCAAUCAGAAGCUUCUAUAUGGGGCUCUGUCUCUGAUAGGAAGAAUACAUAGGUCCCGGACUCCGUUUUUGCCGGGGGACAUAGCACGAGUCCCAUUAUAUCCCAAGUUAUAACUACUGUCUUAACACUUUGGAUUCUUUGUAUUCAGGAAUAGGCUGGUAAGGAGGCCAUCUUGGCUGGAGUAAUUGACCCUGAUAUCCAGACCAGGAAUGUCAAAUAGACCCAAGGCAGUCUCUUACGGAUUUAGACUAAAAGAAUACAUUCUCAUUUUUCUUGAGCAUAUUUUUCCCCAAGAAGUAAUAUUAAAGUUAUUUUUGUAUUAUUAUUAAAGUUCUUUGGUGAUAACUCCUAGAUAAGAACGUAGUUUCUUUUUCAGAAGAGAAUUUUUGCCUUCUGCAGUUGAUGGGAAGAAUUGAGUGUCAAUAUAUACAACUGGACAUGAACAAAACAAUACAACUGGAAAUUUUACUUAAGUCAUGGAAAUUUGCUUGACUUUGAGCUUGAAGUAAAAAAUAUGCUUUCUAACCUCUUUACCCCCAGUUUUUUGCAUAUGGCCGGCUGUUAAGCAAAAAAUUCAGUAAAUGGGGGUGCCUGGGUUGCUCAGUCAGUUAAGCACCCAACUCUUGAUUUCCGUUCAGGUCAUGAUCUCAGGGUUCCUGAGAUCAAGCCCCAUGUUGGGCACCAUGCUGGGCAUGGAGUCUGCUUGAAAUUCUCUCCCUCUGCCUCUGCCCAUUCCUGGUCGUGCUCUCUUUUUCAAGAAGAAAAAAAAAUUAUUAAAAAAAAAACCCUCAGUAAAUAUUUGCUAAAUAAGUGAUUAACAAAAGUUCUGAGCCUAAGUUCAGAGUUUCCCAUUAUUCUCAUUUCAAUGUCCCUGAAAUUGCCUCUUUAGCUCCAACUUUUAUGUGGCCAAAGUGUUUCCUCCAUUCACAAAGCUGAAGAGUCUUUAAAAAAUUUUUUUUCAUUAUUUUUUAUCAUUCUGUUUAUUUAUUUAUUAUUUAUUUAUUUUUAUUAUUUUGUUUUAUUUUAAUUUCAGUAUAGUGAACAUACAGUGUUAUAUUAGUUCCAGGUGUACAAUAUGGUGAUACAACAAUUUCAUACAUCACCCAAUGCUCUUCACAGACAAAUGCCCUCCUUAAUCCCCAUCACCUAUUUCACCCCACAGCCCCCUGGUAACCAUCAGUUUGUUCUCUAGAGUUAAGAAAAGAGAGACUUUCAUGAGCUCAUUCGUGCCUUCCAGUAACAGAAAGGAAAGAGAUUCUGUUUUAUAUCUUUGUCUCUUUAAGAAAAAAUUAUGACUUGGUUCAAUACAGCAUUACUGAGUGUUAAAUCAAUUCAACUCAAUCCCCUUCCAGUAAGAUUUGGAAUGGAGUCAGAAUUCAUACUUUAGGGGAAUAAAGCUCCCCCAGAUGAUUCUGACACACAGCCAGGUUUGAGGAUGACUGUUUUAACUCACUUCCAAGUUUCUUAGGUUACCAGAAAUGUUAUUUCUCUUUCAAACAUCAGUCUAGGAAGUUGCAAGACAAAGCAAUUUUCAGCUGUAACUCAGUAUCAGGAGGAUAAACAUUUGUCAGGGAGAAUACAGCAAGGGAACAACAGCAAAAUGUACAUUUUUUUUUUUUUUUUUGCAGAAAGAGGGGAAAUAAUUUAAAAAUUAAGAGGAACUACAAUUCCUAUUUAGAAUAAAUAAUAAAUGGGCUCAUGACCCAUUUAUUGUUUUGAGAGAAUUGUUUUGAGAUCAGUGACAGAUCUCCCAGUCAUCAAAAAGAAAUUUCAGAUUAGAAUAGUUUUACAUUUGUAAAUAUCCUUUCACAUUUCAAGCUGGACCUGGGCCUUGCAUUAGGGCUAUUUUUGUUUUAAGUAAAGUAGCUAAAACUGUUUGGUUUCUGAAACAGGAGAGUCUGGAGUGGUAGUGGCUUCAUAAUAGCGGGAGGCAGGGCUCAAAGAGGGUAGGUAGGGCCGUCUUCCCUUCUGUGUGGCUUUAUUCUACAGGCAGAUUCUCUCCAAAUGGUGGGCAAGAGGGUCACUGACAGUUACAUCUUCCCAGCCUAG